CUCGUAGACUCCUACGGGAGGCAGCAGUGGGGAAUAUUGGACAAUGGGGGAAACCCUGAUGCAGCCAUGCCGCGUGUGUGAAGAAGGCCUUCGGGUUGUAAAGCACUUUCAGUAGGGAGGAAGGUAGUGUAGUUAACACCUGCAUUAUUUGACGUUACCUACAGAAGAAGCACCGGCUAACUCCGUGCCAGCAGCCGCGGUAAUACGGAGGGUGCGAGCGUUAAUCGGAAUUACUGGGCGUAAAGCGCAUGCAGGCGGCCUGUUAAGUCAGAUGUGAAAGCCCCGGGGCUUAACCUCGGAAUUGCAUUUGAAACUGGCAGGCUAGAGUCUUGUAGAGGGGGUAGAAUUUCAGGUGUAGCGGUGAAAUGCGUAGAGAUCUGAAGGAAUACCAGUGGCGAAGGCGGCCCCCUGGACAAAGACUGACGCUCAGAUGCGAAAGCGUGGGGAGCAAACAGGAUUAGAUACCCUGGGAG
rnacentral:rRNA from 1 species